CUCUUCUACUAUCUGUGUUGUUCAUAAUCCUCAUAACAAUGCACUGAACUAUAUAUAUUGUACAUCACUAGAUGUUUUCGAUCGAUGUCCCCUGUUUGUUAGUUGCAUCAUUGCUCACUUGUUUGACUCUGUCCAAUGUAAAAUUUUGUGUUCAGAAUAUGGUCUUUUACCAGUUCCCACUCAUGGUGUGUUUGAAAAAGGAAAGUUCUCUGUAGUUUUUGGAUUCUAGCUGGAUUUGGAUCUAAAUUCCUAACGAUUUGAGUUCCUAUUCCAUGGUCUAAACAUGCACUACAUUUCUAAGUAAGCAAUUCUGAUAUGGGUAUCCUGUUUAUCCAUUUUCAUUCUACUUUCCAGUUUUUUGUUCUUUGUUGUCCCUUUUGUGGUUGACACUGAUGCGGGUGUAGUCCCACUUAUCUAUUCUGUUAAGUAAUGUUUUCUAAUUGCUUGAACUUUCCUGUGUCUGUGUAACAUUCAGGUACUAUAUGUUUUAGUUCUCUUGUAAACUUGUAGGAGAAAUAAUCCGCUCACAUUUCAUUUCAAUUGAAAUGGAAAAAAACACGAGUUGAUUCUGAUGUCAUAUGGUCCAUGAUCAAUCAUAGGAACUAAAUCUCUGUAUCCAUCUUCCUCUUAGUAUGGACUAAGUUUACCUUCCUGACAAUAACAUAUUACCUUGUGAUGGUGAGUAUUGAAUAACGACGUACUAAAUGAACAAGAUAAUUUCCUUGUCAAGUCAAUCAGAACAUUUUGUUUUUUAUUUUAGCUUUGAAGAUGUCAUCCCUUGGCAACUUUGUGUAUAUUUCUUUUGAGCUGAUUUCAUCUUUUCAAGCAAGUCUCAUCUUCCUUCUCCAUAUUUCUUCGGCAUAGGAUAUUAACAAAGGCCCAAAGAACAAACCAUCAAUUCUGGGAACUGUUUCUCUCAAUCUAGCAGAUUAUGCAUUGACGG
rnacentral:lncRNA from 1 species